rnacentral:lncRNA from 1 species
GGCUAGGGUAGUCCUUGUGAGGAGUCAUAGGACUGUUUGAGUUGAGCACGAUUCGGAUGAUCUGAUCAGGGUUGACAGUUUAACCCUGAGUCGUCCUAAACACAGGGGUUAAAAGGAUGAAUUAUACAGUAACCAUAUUCAUGUAGGUUCUGAGUGUUGCGAUUGUGACUCUUUGACCUAUCCAGACGUCGGGUACCAUU